CUGGUGAAAAACAUUCUCUCAGCACCUUGGAUGCAGCCCCUUUGGUUCCAUGGAUUGGGUGACCACCCCAGGCAGCUCCCCCAGGACGAUGGAUGCAGGCGGGCUGGAGAGAGCUCCUCCAGCCAAGCCCACCGCUGCCCUCCCAUCAGAUGAAGCCUGCAAGAGAGUGCUGCAGGAGGUCAGGCAGAUGGCUGCAGAGUGGGAGCAAGUGAAGACCCAUUGACAAUAGUGGCUGGAGCAAGCAAAGGCAGAAUGGGUGGUGUGGGAAGCCUGGGCUGCAGGGGAGGACCAGCAUCCACCCCAGGCCCUUGGUACUGGAGGCCCUUGGAUUUCCCACCCUCCAACCCAGCCCAGGAGAAAGGAGAGGUGGAGAAAGGCUGAAAGGCCUUUGCCAGCAGAGGAGAUGGUAGCAGCAGCCCAGCUGGAGAGAGCCCAGCCUGACUGCCUUUCCUCAUGAGCUGCCCAGGUCCUCAGGAGGCUGGAGCC